rnacentral:rRNA from 1 species
GAUGAACGCUGGCGGCGUGCCUAAUACAUGCAAGUCGAGCGCAGGAAGCCGUCUGAACCCUUCGGGGGGACGACGGUGGAAUGAGCGGCGGACAGGUGAGUAACACGUAAAGAACCUGCCCAUAGGUCUGGGAUAACCACGAGAAAUCGGGGCUAAUACCGGAUGUGUCAUCGGACCGCAUGGUCCGCUGAUGAAAGGCGCUCCGGCGUCGCCCAUGGAUGGCUUUGCGGUGCAUUAGCUAGUUGGGGGGGUAACGGCCCACCAAGGGGGCGAUGCAAAGCCGACCUGAGAGGGUGGUCGCCCGCACUGGGACUGAGACAAGGCCCAGACUCCUACGGGAGGCAGCAGUAGGGAAUCUUCCACAAGGGACGAAAGUCAGAUGGAGCAAGGCCGCGUGAACGAUGAAGGCUUUCGGGUCGUAAAGUCCUGUUGUAAGGGAAGAACAAGUGCCGCAGGCAAUGGCGGCACCUUGACGGUACCUUGCGAGAAAGCCACGGCUAACUACGUGCCAGCAGCCGCCGUAAUAC